rnacentral:rRNA from 1 species
GAUGAACGCUGGCGGCGUGCUUAACACAUGCAAGUCGAACGGGAAAUAUUUCAUUGAGACUUCGGUGGAUUUGAUCUAUUUCUAGUGGCGGACGGGUGAGUAACGCGUGGGUAACCUGCCUUAUACAGGGGGAUAACAGUCAGAAAUGGCUGCUAAUACCGCAUAAGCGCACAGAGCUGCAUGGCUCAGUGUGAAAAACUCCGGUGGUAUAAGAUGGACCCGCGUUGGAUUAGCUAGUUGGUGGGGCAACGGCCCACCAAGGCGACGAUCCAUAGCCGGCCUGAGAGGGUGAACGGCCACAUUGGGACUGAGACACGGCCCAGACUCCUACGGGAGGCAGCAGUGGGGAAUAUUGCACAAUGGGGGAAACCCUGAUGCAGCGACGCCGCGUGAAGGAAGAAGUAUCUCGGUAUGUAAACUUCUAUCAGCAGGGAAGAUAGUGACGGUACCUGACUAAGAAGCCCCGGCUA